rnacentral:rRNA from 1 species
UACAGAGGUCUCGAGCGUUAUGCGGAAUCACUGGGCUUAAAGCGUGUGUAGGUGGAUGCCUAAGUACCUUGUGAAAUCCCACGGCUUAACCGUGGAACUGCUUGGUAUACUGGGUGUCUUGAGUCACUCAGGGGCGAGCGGAACAAAUGGUGGAGCGGUGAAAUGCGUAGAUAUCAUUUGGAACGCCAAUGGUGAAAACAGCUCGCUGGGGGUGCACUGACACUGAGACACGAAAGCCAGGGGAGCGAACGGG